GCCCUCGUAGAUAAACAGUACAUCAUUCACUUUUCAUCAUCCAGUCUUGAAAUAUCAUCGUGGAGGCUGUGGGUUCGACUCCCACCGAGGGCA